UGGGCAACGCGACGCCGUACAACGUGACGAAAGCAGCCCUGGAUCACCUGACACGAUGCGCCGCAUUAGAGAACGCUCCAUUUGGUGUACGGGUGAACGCGGUCAACCCCGGAGUCAUCAAUACAGACUUUUGGACACAACCUGGAGGCAAAGUGGAGGAACGAAGAG